AUACGAAGGUCCCAAGCGUUAUUCGGAAUCACUGGGCGUAAAGAGUAAGUAGGCGGUUUGGUAAGUCAGGUGUGAAAUCCCGAAGCUCAACUUCGGAACUGCAUCCGAUACUGCCAGACUAGAGUAAUGGAGAGGCAGGUGGAAUUCUCGGUGUAGCAGUGAAAUGCGUGGAUAUCGAGAGGAAGACCAAUGGCGAAGGCAGCCUGCUGGACAUUUACUGACGCUGAGGUACGAAGGCUAGGGGAGCGAAAGGGAUUAGAAACCCGUGUAGUCC
rnacentral:rRNA from 1 species